AUUGAACGCUGGCGGCAGGCCUAACACAUGCAAGUCGAACGGUAACAGGAAACAGCUUGCUGUUUCGCUGACGAGUGGCGGACGGGUGAGUAAUGUCUGGGAAACUGCCUGAUGGAGGGGGAUAACUACUGGAAACGGUAGCUAAUACCGCAUAACGUCGCGAGACCAAAGAGGGGGACCUUCGGGCCUCUUGCCAUCGGAUGUGCCCAGAUGGGAUUAGCUAGUAGGUGGGGUAACGGCUCACCUAGGCGACGACCCCUAGCUGUUCUGAGAGGAUGACCAGCCAAACUGGAACGGAGACACGGUCCAGACUCCUACGGGAGGCAGCAGUGGGGAAUAUUGCACAAUGGGCGCAAGCCUGAUGCAGCCAUGCCGCGUGUAUGAAGAAGUCCUUCUGGUUGUAAAGUACUUUCAGCGGGGAGGAAGGGAGUAAAGUUAAUACCUUUGCUCAUUGACGUUACCCGCAGAAGAAGCACCGGCUAACUCCGUGCCAGCCGCCGCAGUAA
rnacentral:rRNA from 1 species